rnacentral:rRNA from 1 species
AUGGGUCGAACAAAUUUUAAUCCAAUUUGGUGUAAGAUUUGGAAGUUAUCUUGUCCAGCGAAGGUGAAAUUUUUUAUUUGACGGACGCUACAUGGUACUUUUCCAUGUCGUGUUACGCUUGCUAGUAGACACAUGAAAGUUUCACCUUUAUGCCCCUUUUGUGCUUCUGGUUUAGAAGACACAAAGCAUAUUUUGUUUCAGUGCCAAAAGGCAAAAGAGGUCUGGAGAAGGCUUGGCUUAGCCGAGAUCAUUGCUCAAGCUUGUGAAGUUGAUCAUGCUGGAGAGGCGGUCCUCGUUUUUUUUUUGAACAUGCCUGACCAAGAUUUAUCUAUUAUGGGGUUCCAUAAUAUUCCGGAGAUGAUUGCCAUUACGUCUUGGUAUUUAUGGUGGGAAAGACGUAAAUUAGUGCACUAG